GGAGGAAUACCCAAGUCCGGCUGAAGGGAUCGGUCUUGAAAACCGACAGGUCGCGCAAGCGGCGCAGGGGUUCGAAUCCCUUUUCCUCCGCCA
rnacentral:tRNA from 1 species